rnacentral:rRNA from 1 species
UACGGAGGGUGCAAGCGUUAUCCGGAUUUACUGGGUUUAAAGGGUAUGUAGGCGGGCUUUUAAGUCAGUGGUGAAAUCUCCGGGCUCAACCUGGAAACUGCCAUUGAUACUAUUAGUCUUAAAUUUUGUUGAGGUAGGCGGAAUAAGUCAUGUAGCGGUGAAAUGCAUAGAUAUGACUUAGAACACCAAUUGCGAAGGCAGCUUGCUAAACAAAUAUUGACGCUGAGGCACGAAAGCGUGGGGAUCAAACAGG